CCCCUAGAUAGGCUUCCGCAAGAAACCCUUGCAGCGGAAGAAUCCGAGGCGCGUGGGCGUGACUUCCCUUCGCCUUCCUCGUGCCGAAGCCGUUCCGGUUCUUCGCAAAACCCUAGAAGAUGUCGGGUGGAUUCUUCCGGGGAACCUCGGCGGAUCAGGACGCUCGCUUCUCCAACAAGCAAGCGAAGCUUUUGAAGUCACAAAAAUUCGCACCGGAGCUCGAUCACGUGGUGGAUAUGACGAAGGUACAGAUGGAUGUGAUAAGGCCAUGGAUCGCAACGAGGGUGACUGAGCUCCUUGGAUUCGAAGACGAAGUCCUCAUUAACUUUGUUUAUGGUCUUCUGGAUGGCAAGGAGGUGGACGGGAAGCAGAUGCAGAUCCAGCUUACUGGGUUUAUGGAGAAAAAUACUGGGAAGUUCAUGAAGGAGCUCUGGGGUCUACUGCUUAGUGCUCAGAAUAAUGCCAGCGGGGUUCCUCAGCAGUUUUUGGAUGCCAAGAAAGAGGAAACAGAUAAAAGAAAGGCGGAGACUGAUAGAAUUGCUCAGGAAAUUCAACAGAGAAAAGAGAAAGAGGGAAGAGAGUUAGAACAAGAGAAACAGAGGAGGAUGGACGGGGCAGCUGACAAGUCGAGGUCUUCUACUGCGGUUUUGGGUUCAGUUUCAAAGCGAUCACCGCGAAUGGCUUUUAGUGUUCACCCUGAGGAUGAUAGAGAAGUGGACACUGGGCACGAUUCAAGAUCAAAAAGCCAGGAAGGACGUAAAUCAAGGAGCGUAUCUGGUUCGUCUCAGUCUCAAAGGUAUUCAAUUUCUCCUAAGAGGCGGCAUCGCUCACCAUCCAAACGGUCUAUAUCUUCUGAGAGGCGAUACAGAUCUCCACCUCGACGGUCCAUUUCUCCUCGCCGCAGGCAUUCACCACGGUACGCUCGAUCACCUUUAAGACAAAGAUCACCUCAUACUAGGCGAAGAUCAGUUUCACUCUCCAGGCACCGAUCUCCCUCUCCUGUCCGGCGGAGAUCUCCUUAUGCACGAAGAAGAUCUCCAUCAUAUGCAUGGCGCAGAUCUCCUCCCUUGCGUCGUAGGUCUCCAGUUCAAGUCCGCAGGAGAUCACCUUCUCCCUCUCGUUAUAGGUCCCCUAUCCGACGCAAGUCUUUGUCACCAGCAAGGCGCAGAUCCCCAUCUCCUUUAAGGAGAAGAUCGCCCCCACCUAGGUCUCCAAAGCACCGAAGAAGGUCACCUCUGUGUUCACCAAGAAGUCGUGUCAGGGAUUAUGAAACAUCUCCACGGCAAAGAAAGAGGAGGCGCAGUCCAUAUAGGAGCCGGAGUCCGUCAUAUCCAUCUCAGAGUUCGAGCAAGGAGAUUGAUAACCGUAUUGAGGGCAUUGAUUCCAAAUAUUAUCGUGAUGGAUACACAUCUCAGAGGUCUCGUGAAAAAAAGUUACCUGUUCAUCAUACCGUGGAUAGGGCAGCGACUGAACGCCCUGUCUCAGGACGCAAGGUUUCAGAAUCACGCCGACUUCCAAUUUCUUCAAGGUCUCCCAAACGUGAUUCAAGAAAUCAAAAUGACAUUCAUGAUAGGGAGCAUGGUGUAACAUCUGAAGAAUCUCCAAAUCAGUCAGAGUCACCAUCCCGUUUGCGAAGAAUAGCCCCAAGAGGAAUUAGAUCUUGUAGCCCUUCGGAGAGUCCUGUUAAACAAACUAGAAGACAGAUGCCUCGUCGUGACAGUCCAGAAACAAAUAGAGAAAGAGAACAACCCAGUUAUGGCAGGGAGGAUGCUUAUCAUAGGUCUGAUUCCUCGUGCAAGAAAAGAAGAGAUUCACCUGCUAAUGUGCAGCAAAAGGAUUCCCACGCCAAGGACUUCAGUCCACAAGAGUAUUCUUCUGGAAGAUUGGCUGAUGACUACUCUCCAGCUGCCCAAGGUCAAGCUCGUAACUUGGAAAUCAGAAAGAAGGAACAUGAGGAAAAUAGUGAAGAAGAUCUUCCUGAAAGGCAUAAACGGCUAGUAUUACAAUCACCAGAACAAAUAGAAUAUGGUCCUGGAAGAAUAGUAGAUGAAAGCUAUCCACCAGAUAACUUCUAUGAUAGACAGCGUUUGGCUAAGAAACAUGUGAGAGAUGCAUCUUCAGAGGAAAGGGUAUCCAAUGAGCACACAGUGAAGAGCAUCUAUGGUGAUGGUUAUGCAGUUAAAGCUGCAAAACAAUCACGUUCAAAAAGUGAUGAGUAUAGGGAAUCACGUUAUGAAACAGAAUCUGAUAAAAAGUUCAAGAAAAAGGUGGACCAGAGCAACCAGUUCGAUACCCAUGAUUCUGAUUCUGAAGAAAUUGGUGCCCAUAGAUACCAGGAGAUGGAAAAGCGAAGGCGCAAAAGGUCUGAUAAGCAUAAAAGAGAUUUGGACGACAGUUCUGAGUCUGAUUUUCAGAUAGAUGACAAGAAGGAGGCCAAGAGAAGAAGGAAAGAUGAGAAAAGGCUACGCAAGGAGGAGAGGCGUCGCAGGCGUGAAGAGAGGCAUCGCAGAAAGUUAGAACGUCGUGCAGGCAAGCAUAAAGUGAAGUCUGUGGAUACUGUUACUCCCCCUUCAGAUUUGGAGAAAAUUUAUAAUGAUGCUGAUGGAUCAAAUGAUGAUGGUGCCAUAGGAAAGCAUCCUCAUCUAGGUGACAUAGAAGAAACAGAGUCGGAGCAGAAGAAGCUUGAGAUCGAGCUGCGAGAAAAGGCCCUAGAAUCUCUCAGAGCAAAGAAGGCUAUCAGUCAUUAAAUUAGAAUAUCUGACUUUUGCUUUUUACCAUGCAUUCAUAUGUUCUGUAGAAUGAGAUAUUCACCAUAAGGUGUGAGCAUAUCCUUUCAUAUAGCAGACUGUUUGAUGGAACCUGUGUUUAUUCUGGCAGCUGAAGUGGAUAAAUGAGGAUUCCUGAGCUGUAUUUUGUGGCAUCCUAGUUCAGACUUAGCUGCUAGAUUUUCUGGAUUUCAUAUGGUGAUCAUUGUAGUGCAAGUUUAGUACAUUUCCAGUUGAAAACUCUUACAAGAUGAGAAUAUUUUCAAGUAAGACUUGGUAGAGCUGGCAAUGUGCAGAACCACCUUUAGAACCUCAAAUCAGCUGGACUCGUUUUGUGGACUUCGUAAAUAUGCAUCGGGGUGCUAUAAGCUUCCAUCACAUCAUAGCUUCAUAGUCAUGCCAAGCUGAUAAUUCCCUUUAUGGAAGUCGUUCCAGUGUGGAUCGUGCUUUUGGGAUAGAUGGUACCGUUGCGCGGUGGUUGUAGCAGUUCAAUCUGGUGCUAGAGUUGCCGUCCUGCUAGAUUUUGCGUUGGGUUUAUGAUAACUAAUGGAGAAUUACUUUGCAAAAGAAAAACUGGAAAAGUAUGAGUGGAAACAUGCGAAUUAAGUGGAAAGACUCAUUUGGUGUGGAUGAUUAAAUAGAUAAUCUAAAUACGAUAUAUGUUUAA